AACCAAUGCAUUUCAAAAGAGAUUUAACAGCUUUGACCUAGCAAGGAAUACAACAUGUUUCAAAAACUGCUCUCUGGAGGAUGACAAGAUGUACAGAGCAAAUACAGGUACUACUCACCCUAACAACCACAAUUGGGACUGGCAACUCCAUUGCUAAAUGAGUGAAGAAGAUGAAGAUUUGUCCAAGAGUUUUAACGGAUCAUAGUCCAGUCUGGAUGGAAUCAGAGUAUGGAAGGGGACCUAAGAGGUCUUGGAGGUUAAAUGAAAAUCUGUUUAGAUAUGAGGAAAAUGUAAAAGAAUGUAAAAAAUUUAUGAAAGAAUUUUUUAUUAUAAAUAUGCAUAACGGUA